rnacentral:rRNA from 1 species
UACGGAGGGUGCGAGCGUUGUCCGGAAUCACUGGGCGUAAAGGGCGCGUAGGCGGCAGGCCAAGCGUGCGGUGAAAGUCCGGGGCUCAACCCCGGAUCUGCCGUGCGGACUGGUUUGCUAGAGCACUGUAGAGGCGGAGUGGAAUUCCGGGUGUAGCGGUGGAAUGCGUAGAGAUCCGGAAGAACACCGGUGGCGAAGGCGGCUCGCUGGGCAGUGGCUGACGCUGAGGCGGCGACAGCGUGGGGAGCAAACAGG